rnacentral:lncRNA from 1 species
UGCCCCUGGGUUCAACCCCCAGUACUACAAAAUAAAUCACAUUUUUAUUUUAUUUUAACGAAUCAAUUAAUUUAUUUGGGUUUUGGGUAUUGAACCCAGGGCUGCUUUACCACUGAGCUACAUUUCUAACCCUUUUUAAUCUUUUAAUUUUGGGACAGGGUCUCUCUAAGUUACGGAUGGUCUUGCUAAGUUGCUGAGGCUGGCCUGGAACUUGCCAUCCUCCCAUCUCGGCCUCCUGACCCGCUCAGGUAUUGCUCACGUAUAUAAACGCUAGGUCUAAAUGUUAGGCACUGCCUGAUAACUGUGGCUCUGAGGAACAAUGAAUAAAUCUAUAAGUUGCAUCUGUUUUAAAGUUGUACUAUACAAGACGAUUGCAUAUGUCAUGUUUAUUGUCACAUCUUCAACUUCAGUGCACCGGGUCCUUGCUGUACCAUAGUGUGGCAGAUCCAGGACAAGUGCUUAUCAGUACAUGGGCACCCAGAGCCAUUAAAAAAAUUGAGAAUAUUUUAAACAGAUGAAAACAUAUGAAUAAUUUAGUGGCAGUCUAAAUAUUCAUUACUCACAGUUAACAAACACGAAACAUUUAAUUUUUGCUUUGGAUCUUUUUCAUUUGCUCUGUUAAAGAAAUAAAACAUUAGAUCCGGUUGAAGUACCCUUGAGAUUGGGGGUUUCUACUCUUAUGUCCCCCAGAUAUAACCACUGGGCUGAAUGAAAUUUGGUGUUUAGCCCAUUCACAUGUGUGCUUUGUAAAGAAAAACAUGCUCGUGUAUUCAUAAAUGUUUGUGUUGUGAAUUAGAUUUUAUAUAAAUGCUAUAUGGUAUGUAUUAUUUUGUAAUUUGCCU